CAUAAACAGUGUCUUUCUAGGUUCUCUGCCUUCUGUCUCACCCUAAUGGCCCAUGUUAAUGAGGAAAUCCUUCCCUGUAUUGCUGUCUCCUCUCUGAUGUUGCUUAAUAAAUGAGUAAUUUAGUUAAUACUAAAUACCAUGUCAAUCGAAUUCAUCAGAAGCAAGAAUAAUAGAAUUUUUCUUACUCCCAAAGCACAGUAAAUAUUAAUUGAACAAUUUGUUUUGAAGCUCUAACAGAACCUGAAAUAAAUGUAAGACAAGUUCCUAAUCUGGAUAAUAUGGAAAAAAUAAGAGAAAUAAACUGUUCGGUAACAGGAAGACCAACUCCAGUAAUUACCUGGAAGAUGAAGAAACCUCUUCAGAUAAAGCCAAAAUCACAUAUGAUUUCACACUCAAAUAAGACAGUAACUGUUAUCAGCACGUUUACUCAAGUCUUGUCCAAGACAGUCUCAGAAAAUUCAGUAAUCUGUGUUAUUCAACAUCCAUCUCUAAACACUUCACAAGAGUUGAUGUUAUCUGAAAUUGUAAGCAAACAAGCCCCAAACAAACAUCAAAGAAUUGUUAUUGCAACUGUCUGUAUACUGGUUUCCCUAUUUGUCCUUGGGUUAUUUAUCUUUUUCAUAUGCUGGUAUAGGAGACGAGCACUAAUAGAAAAAGAGCAAGAUCUUCCAUGCUGGGUUGUUCCACUUUGUUCUGGAAAAACAUCAUGUAGAAAAAAUGGCUACACAAAGAGAAAGGCCCCUAUGAAAUCACUUGCUGAAAGAAAGUUUCUGGACACAUGAAACAUUUCUAUACAAAACAUGAAAUCACAUGAUGGAAAGGCAUGAACACAUAGCUCUGAGCAUAGACAGGAGCAUGCAACCAGCAGGCUGGUUAGCACCUAAAGGACCUCUCCUUGCCUUUUAAUUAAUUUUCAGCAUUCUUUGCCUCUUUUAAAUAUUAUAUAUAGUUUUUAUGCUUUUAAUAUUAUAUUUGUAUACUGCCCAGACUCCUUCUGUGAGAGAGAUGGGUGAUUCCUAAAUAUACUAAAUAAAUAAAUAAAAACAAUAAUAUUUUCCCUAUGAAUACUCCUUAUUCUGGAUUUUUUUUUCCAAAUUAGGUAUUGCCUAUGUGUUUACAAUUAAUGUUUAUGAGCCAUACUCUAUGUAAGGCAUACUGAUAACCAGAAACAAAGCUAAAUAAUAUAGUAACAUCCAAUAAAAAUGUUUAUUUGCAAAUGAGGCUGUAUUGUUUUAUUUACUACUUAUUCUAUUCCUUUCAGCAAUCAGUAAUUGAUGAUAAUCAGAUAAUUAAUGAUAAUUUCUAAAUAAUUCCAUUUACGACAAUUGAAAUGAUCCUUAUGGUGAAAAUAACACAGGACAGUAUUACAGCUUUGCUAAAGAUACAAUUCCAGUUCCAUUACAGAAUUGUAAAAGAUGACUUAUGUGAAAUUUUGAAAUAAAAAACAAAAUGCAAGCAAGAGAAACAC
rnacentral:lncRNA from 1 species